rnacentral:rRNA from 1 species
AAACCAACAGGGAUUCCCUUAGUAACGGCGAGUGAACCGGGAAAAGCUCAAAUUUGAAAUCUGCCAACAGGCCGAGUUGUAAUUUGUAGAUGGCUACACUGCAUAAUAGUAGAUGCUCAAGUUCUUUGGAAAAAGACAUCAUGGAGGGUGACAAUCCCGUGAGGCAUGUUACUAGGAGCAUAUAGUGGGCUUUCUAAGAGUCGAGUUGUUUGGGAAUGCAGCUCAAAGUGCGUGGUGAAUACCAUGUAAAGCUAAAUAUGGACGAGAGACCGAUAGCGAACAAGUACUGUGAAGGAAAGAUGAAAAGCACUCCGAAAGGAGAGUGAAAUAGUACGUGAAAUUGUUAAAGUGGAAGGGCUUGAGAUCAGAAUUGGUAGUUUGGGUUCCACGUCCUCUUGGGGGCGUGUACUCCCUUUCCACCGGGCCAGCGGGAGUUUCGUCUCUUGGGUAAAAGCAGUGGAAUGUAGCAGCUUGUCUGUAUUAUAGCCUCUGUUCAUACAAGACGUCGAGACUG